AAUGAACGCUGGCGGCGUGCCUAACACAUGCAAGUCGUACGAGAAAGGGGCUUCGGCCCUGAGUAGAGUGGCGCACGGGUGAGUAACGCGUGGGUAAUCUCCCCUUGGAUUUGGGAUAACUCUGCGAAAGUGGAGCUAAUACCGGAUAGUCUGGCUUUAAUUGAUAAGUCGGUAAAGGAUGCCUCUGCAUAUGCAUUCGUCCAAGGAUGAGCCCGCGUCUCAUUAGCUAGUUGGUAGGGUAAUGGCCUACCAAGGCAACGAUGCGUAGCUGGGCGGAGAUGAAGGUCCGCAACACUGGAACUGAGACACGGUCCAGACUCCGACGGGAGGCAGCAGUGGGGAAUAUUGCGCAAUGGGCGAAAGCCUGACGCAGCAACGCCGUGUGAGGGAUGAAGGCUUUCUGGUCGUAAACCUCUGUCGGAAAGGAAGAACGGGCAUUGGUCUAAUAGGCCUUUGUUUUGACGGUACCUUUAGAGGAAGCACCGGCUAACUCCGUGCCAGCCGCCGCGGUAACAC
rnacentral:rRNA from 1 species